rnacentral:snRNA from 1 species
AGAUGUGAGGAGUGAUCUGGCUGUGACAUCUGUCAUUCCACUGAUCAUCAGAGUUGAUUCAGCUGAUCUGGUGGCAAGGUGGGUGUCUCCUUUCUCCCUCACUGCCCCAUGUGUGUCCCUUCCUAAGCUGCGUGCUUGGUCAAAGAGAAUGACUAUUCCUAAUAGAGAACAAAGGAGACCAUUAUUCAGUCAAGGGUACAUGAAUAGCUGUGCUCGCCUGCUAGAAUCUCCAAAACAAAUCCUCAAAAAUGUAAAUUGCCACAACCUCUUUGCAAGGAACUUCAAAAUAGGUUCUAAUAGCCUCCAUAUUUUCACAGCUUUCAAAUUCUUUUUCUGGAAAAUAUUU